CUGCGACCUUCGGCUUUCUCUCUUCUUCCUUCCUUGGGUCUAAGGCGAAUUGUCUCGUCUUCAAUUCUUCUCUUUCUCUCUCUCUCUCUUCUUCUCUUUUCUUCAAUUCGUUUACGAAUUGUCUCGUCUUCUGUUCUCAUCGAAUCCCACACACAACACAGCCGAGUUCGUCUCUGAACUUCUUAUCGAUCUCUCCGCUCUCAACGAGUAUGUAUUUCUCCAAACCCCUAGUUCCUCUCUUAACUCGCUCACUCAAUUUUACCGUCGAUUUUGAAAUACUUCUUCGUCUGAUUCAAACGAAUUGUGUCCUAAAUUAUUCAUCUUUUGGAAAUUUCUGAUGAAUUGCUUCUUUUUUUUUUUUUACUUUGGGUCUUUGAAUGUUCAAAUCCAUUGUGGAGAAGAGAAAGGGCAAGUUGGAUUUUGAAGUUUUGGAGUUAUUUGAGAACCCAAAUCAUCAUGUCAACUCAAUGCAAUGUAUGAAUCUUUAUUGCAAAGUGAAAAGUCACAUCAUGUAAUCUGUUAUGCGGCCUCGAAUCAGCCCGAACCGAGAUUUCUAAAGCAGAGCUUGAUCUUUUGCAAACUGUCCAAGAAAAUGCAAACCUCCGCUCACAAAAUUGUUCAAUCUCCAGACAAAAUUGCAGGUAUAUAUUUGGUCAUACUAGCACUAGUCGUAAGAUAAAAUUUUGUGUAUACACUGGCGUGAUGUGGAGACAGGGAGCCUUAGAAGAGAAGAAGCUACUAGUUAGUACCUUGGGAAACAAAGAAAGCUGAGCAAUCAGCAAUGGAAACUUUCCAGGAAAAGGCUGGCGCCGUUCUUGAGGUGAGGUCUAUGAAAAGGUAAACCAAAGGGAAAGCUGUUAAGAAAGAAUACAUAGCUCUUAAAGCUAAAUUGAGCGAAUGAUGGUGUAGCGUACAAAUCACUUAAGGCGAAAGUGGUUGAAAGUCGUGGUUUAUUUCUUUCCUCUUUAGAUAUUGUUUCGUAAUUUUGUUUUGGGAUGGAGGCUGUAAUUUUCUAAACGAAUCAUUGAAACUAGCAACUAGAGAAGGAAAAAACAGUCAUGUUUGAUGACUGGAAAAAACAGUUAAAUAAACUAAAACUGGAGGUUGAAUCUAAAAGAGGUGAACUUGUGACAACAUCCGUUUGCCUGGCUUCAAGUUCACGUCUUUUAGAUUCAACCUCCAUUUUUAGUAGACAAGGACAGGGAAUGAUUAAAAACCUAGGCUCGAGGCGAGUUAAGGCUCAGGGUUCAUCGCCUCUAGUAGAUGAGGCGAUGCUAUGACCCAAAGGCGCUCGCUUCGUGGCGCCUUGGUAUCAAGCGCGCCUCUGGUCGCUUUGGGCCUAUGAAGAAAAAGUUGCGCCUCAGACACCAAAGGCUCGGAGAGAAGUGCGCCUAGGCUCAGGGUGCAAAACCCGCCCUUCGUAGCCUUACCUCGCCUCCAGCCAUUUAAAACAUAGAUGUUGAAUGAAUCAUUAGUAGCUGUGGUUCAUUGAUGACAAUACUGCCAAGAUUAAGCAGGUGAGACAGUCAGGAGAAGAAGCUAGAGUGAACAGUUAGCCGCUAAAUGUGAAGAGAUCGUGAAGCAGUUUCAUGAAUACACAUACAUGGUGUCUUUUGAUGUGUUUCUACCAAGCCUUUAAAGGUCAAGGCAAGUUCUGAUUGAAGUAUAGACCCACAAAGAUCAUCGACCGUUUAGAUAUAUAUAGAGAGAGAGAGAGAGAGAGAGAUUUUAACGACCACAUUUUCUCUUCAAAUUGUUAAAAGACUCGUUUAGAUAUUACUGUAUUUGCUACAAAAAAAAGACAUUACCAAUGUGAUUGUUGUAUUAAUCGAA